rnacentral:tmRNA from 1 species
GGGGGUGUUUAUGGAUUCGCCAUGCUAAAUUGAAGUAUACUUGCAUGUCGUGGUUAAGCACGUUAAAACUCGAGGUUUCAAAUAACCGGAAAAACAAAUUUAUUCGCACGUUCAAACAAUAUGAACGCUGCAUUCGCUUGCUAAUUACCCGCGAGGUAUAGAGCGAUAUCUAUUUAGUGGCCUUUCCUGCACCGCUAUCUAGAUACUCAGUCAGCAGGGAUAUACCUUUAGGCGCGAUCCUAACCGAAAAGAUGAAUUUAAUUGGAUGUAGGUAGUAUUUGGUUCGCUAGGAUACCUGGUAUUACUGAAAGUUAAAUUGUAGCUAAGCAUGUAGGUAGUAUAUGGAUUUGUAGUGUGUACAGGGGUUCGACUCCCCUCACCUCCACCA